UACGGAGGGUGCAAGCGUUAUCCGGAUUCACUGGGUUUAAAGGGUGCGUAGGUGGGUUGGUAAGUCAGUGGUGAAAUCCCCGAGCUUAACUUGGGAACUGCCAUUGAUACUAUCAGUCUUGAAUAUUGUGGAGGUUAGCGGAAUAUGUCAUGUAGCGGUGAGAUGCUUAGAUAUGACAUAGAACACCAAUUGCGAAGGCAGCUGGCUACGCAUAUAUUGACACUGAGGCACGAAAGCGUGGGGAUCAAACAGG
rnacentral:rRNA from 1 species